CGUACUCAGUUCGGAUUGUAGUCUGCAACUCGACUACAUGAAGCUGGAAUCGCUAGUAAUCGCGAAUCAGCAUGUCGCGGUGAAUACGUUCCCGGGUCUUGUACACACCGCCCGUCACACCAUGGGAGUCGGGAAUGCCCGAAGCCGGUGACCCAACCUUAGGGAGGGAGCCGUCGAAGGCAGAUUCGAUAACUGGGGUGAAGUCGUAACAAGGUAGC
rnacentral:rRNA from 1 species